AGGGUUUGAUCAUGGCUCAGGAUGAACGCUGGCGGCGUGCUUAACACAUGCAAGUCGAACGAACCUUCGGGUUAGUGGCGGACGGGUGAGUAACGCGUGAGAAUCUGCCCUCAGGAGGGGGAUAACGGUUGGAAACGACCGCUAAUACCCCAUAUGCCUACUGGUGAAAUGAAUUUCGCCUGAGGAUGAGCUCGCGUCUGAUUAGCUAGUUGGUGAGGUAAUGGCUCACCAAGGCUUCGAUCAGUAGCUGGUCUGAGAGGAUGAUCAGCCACACUGGGACUGAGACACGGCCCAGACUCCUACGGGAGGCAGCAGUGGGGAAUUUUCCGCAAUGGGCGAAAGCCUGACGGAGCAACGCCGCGUGAGGGACGAAGGCCUCUGGGCUGUAAACCUCUUUUCUCAAGGAAGAAGAUAUGACGGUACUUGAGGAAUAAGCCACGGCUAAUUCCGUGCCAGCAGCCGCGGUAAUACGGGAGUGGCAAGCGUUAUCCGGAAUUAUUGGGCGUAAAGCGUCCGCAGGCGGCUUUUCAAGUCUGCUGUUAAAGCGUGGAGCUUAACUCCAUCAUGGCAGUGGAAACUGAAAGGCUUGAGUAUGGUAGGGGCAGAGGGAAUUCCCGGUGUAGCGGUGAAAUGCGUAGAUAUCGGGAAGAACACCAGUGGCGAAGGCGCUCUGCUGGGCCAUUACUGACGCUCAUGGACGAAAGCCAGGGGAGCGAAAGGGAUUAGAUACCCCUGUAGUCCUGGCCGUAAACGAUGAACACUAGGUGUCGGGGGAAUCGACCCCUUCGGUGUCGUAGCUAACGCGUUAAGUGUUCCGCCUGGGGAGUACGCACGCAAGUGUGAACUCAAGGAAUUGACGGGGGCCCGCACAAGCGGUGGAGUAUGUGGUUUAAUUCGAUGCAACGCGAAGAACCUUACCAGGGUUUGACAUCCUGCGAACCUCUUAGAAAUUUGAGGGUGCCUUCGGGAAUGCAGUGACAGGUGGUGCAUGGCUGUCGUCAGCUCGUGUCGUGAGAUGUUGGGUUAAGUCCCGCAACGAGCGCAACCCACGUUUUUAGUUGCCAGCAUUUAGUUGGGCACUCUAGAAAGACCGCCGGUGAUAAACCGGAGGAAGGUGUGGAUGACGUCAAGUCAUCAUGCCCCUUACACCCUGGGCUACACACGUACUACAAUGCUACGGACAAAGGGCAGCAAACUCGCGAGAGCUAGCAAAUCCCAUAAACCGUGGCUCAGUUCAGAUCGUAGGCUGCAACUCGCCUACGUGAAGUAGGAAUCGCUAGUAAUCGCAGGUCAGCAUACUGCGGUGAAUACGUUCCCGGGCCUUGUACACACCGCCCGUCACACCAUGGAAGUUGGCCAUGCCCGAAGUCGUUACUCCAACCCUUGUGGAGGAGGACGCCGAAGGUGGGGCUAAUGACUGGGGUGAAGUCGUAACAAGGUAACCGUA
rnacentral:rRNA from 1 species